AUGCUGCUCCUGAGAAUGUUCACCUCCUGCUGCUGCCUCUGGGUUUUUGGGCUUGGGCAGCUGGAGCAAACUGAAUUAUCGGUCACCAGAGCAACAGAUGAGAGUGCGCAAAUAUCCUGUAUAGUUUCUCUUCCAUGUUUCUCCAACACAGCUAUACAUUGGUACCGGCAAAAACCAAAUCAACAGUUUGAGUAUCUAAUAUAUGUCGAGACAAACUACAAUCAACAACCCUUAGGAGGGAAGAACAAGAAAAUUGAAGCAAGUAAAGAUUUUCAAACUUCUACCUCAACCUUGAAAAUAAAUUACUUGAAGAAAGAAGAUGAAGCCACCUACUACUGUGCAGUCUGGAUAAA